UUGGUCGGGGCGGAACGGCCCACCAAGGCGACGAUGUCUAGGGGUUCUGAGAGGAAGGUCCCCCACACUGGUACUGAGACACGGACCAGACUCCUACGGAAGGCAGCAG
rnacentral:rRNA from 1 species